CCAUAUUUAGCGAAAGAUUUCUUUGUUUUCCAAAUCAUGGCUAGCUGUUUCUUGGAACAUAUAAAUAGAACAGGUACUACAUUGGACCAAAGAGAAAAUAAAGACGCGGAAAAUAGAAAGAGGAGAAAGAAAACAGAGACGAUCAAUACACAUUUGAUAUAUACAUUAAUUAUGGUUAUUCAAAAGUUGGAAAUGUGCGUAGGAAUGGUGAAAUUGGCGUUUGAGUUCGUUGUUGUGUUUGUUGAGGCAGUUGGUACUGUUAUCUCACAAAACAAUUCUUCUUCCUUGUCAACACAUGAUUCCUCGACCAACCGAAACUACGUUGUUACAACGCCCUACAUCGGCCUUCUUCCAUAAAUUGUUUAUUUCUUCACUUAGAUCGGAUAUUCAGUAUUCGAAACUUACUGGUCCGACCUAUUUCAAUUCCAUAAGGUUGUCUUUCUGAAUUCCCGAAGAAACCUAGUAGAAGGAAUGAAUACAGGCAAGGAACAACUGCAAUUUUACAUUUUUCUCAUCAUGAGGCUUUGUAAAAUGUAAAAUCAGCUUCAAAAGAGCUUUCUUGGUAGAGAGUAGUUUUUUUUCCUUUCUGUUUUGUAUUUUUUGGUUAAUUAUUUUUAUGUAAUGUGAUUUAAUUAUCGUGAGCUUAUUAAUAUUAGCAACUUUGAGGUCUGAUCAUUAAUCCUACCAGCUUCUUGUCAAGAUUGCAGCAUAUAUAGAUAGUUAAAUACAUUCAAUUUCAGCUCAGUUUGCUUUUUUGCCCUCUAGUUGGAAAGUUUGACGAUCGAUCGUCUACCUUUCAGCUUAGAAUACGAGGAGAAACCUCCAAAAUUAGUAUCGAACGAUCACGCAACUGCAGAAUUAGAUAUUAUGGUUUCGGAGGAUUUCACGUCUCGGCAGUACCUGCCAAAACACACAUGUUUGUUUUUACAACAUCUUAAUGUCUCUAAUUUAUAUAGUUGAAUAAAUAAUAUUUUUACAAAAUUAUUUAUAUUCGUUGUAAAAAUUAUUUGCUUGAUGAAGCACACGGUAAAGGUUAAUUAGGGGUGGUGAUAGCUGACAGUGGUGAUGGUCGGCUAUAUAUCUUGGUUGUGAGAUGGUUGGACGAAGUAGCUAACUGCUAAUUGUUGGUUGCUAAAGAUAAUGAUUAUGCAGUAAAAGCGACUUUCUUCGGAAUUCUAUUAAGGCCACACACCAUGGAUCUUUGGGCUUGGGCUUGAUUUUUCAGCGUUUGAUCACUUAGGCUUUUGAUAGGAAUGGCAAGCGGCAUGGGGCGAUGUAGGUGGAGGUGGGAUGGGUUUUGUAUUAACUUGCCCCGCCCACCCCGUAUAGCAUUUGCACCUGCGUUCACUCGCAUCUACACUUGAUCAGUCCACCUGCCCUGUGCCGCCCCCUCCAUAUAGCAUUUACACCUGCAUUCACUCGCAUCUACACUUGAGUCCACCUGUCCCGUGCCGCCCCGCCCCGUAUAGCAUUUGCACCUGUGUUCACUCGCAUCUACACUUGAGUCCACCUGCCCCGUGCCGCCUCGCGCGCUUAAGUGUUUUUCCCCAUCUGGUUUUAAUUCUUUUUAAUCUUUUGGCUGAUUUUUUUAAUUAUAUUUUUACGAUAUAUACUCAUACUUUUUAUUAAUUUUAAAGAUUACAGGAGACUUCAGCUAAGCAAAGAAGAAGAUAAGAUACGCGAAUUAAAUUUUGCAUUUUCACCAUAAGAUACUUGCCAUUGACAAAUGUUUUGGAGUAUUUCGUACACCAUUUUGUGCUUCCUUCACAUCUCACUAUGCAUCAACUCAUUCCUACACAAAAAUAGACUAUAAGUACAUAUUUCGUCACUUUUAACUCUAGGUUCUUUUUACAUAAAGAAAGCACAAGAAAUCAUAGAGUAAUCUCUGAAAAGUUUCAGUUUAAAUUAUCUCGAGAUUGGAGGUUAUCGUUGUUAGUGAUGGUGCAAAAAACAACACUUAGGAAGUUGAAAUAAAUAAUUCUUGUUCAGACUUUCAAAAAUGAAUAAGGCCUAAAUGAAACACGUUGAUUGUUGGGAAAAUAACACUAUAUAGUCGUUCUCAAAACCGAAAAAAUAUACUAUAUUUUUUGUGUAUAUAUACAUUAUUGUUCUAAUUACAAAAGGAUUGAUGAAUGACACUGAUUUAGUGACUGAAAAAAGAAGAAGAAGACAUGUAUUGGGAAAAAUUGAAUUUAUAUAUGUUGAGACACGUGGAUUGGUCAAAUAGUCAAAGAAUUAUAAUUAGUCAAGAGACACGAGCAACAAUAGAAACGAGCAAAGGCAAGGAAGAGGCACGGGAGGACAUUUGAAGGAUUCAGCGCCCGUGCCUAUUAAGAUCAUUUAUCAAAAGGAAUGAAUCUGACCAUAACAAAGAGCGCAGAUACGGAAUUCGACAUGCAUUAAAUACCGGAUACGCUAGAGAAUUUGUAUUGGUUACAAUGAUUGUGUAACGUAACAUUCAAUGUCUUUAAUUAUUCAUAAUAGCCUCAUUAUGAUUUGAAGGAAACACAUAUCUUCAAGAUGCCUAUAAAAGGGAGGUAUCUAGUCACUUGUAAGGACAUGACACAAUUGAAAUAUACUUUGAUUCACUUGUUUUUCUCCUGAUUACAUUCUGGUUACUCCAAAUUAUUCUCUUCUACAUAUUCUUUUGAUUAUCAGUAACCCACGUUCUUUUAAAUUCUAGCUUUGACUGAAAUUCUAUUUUUUGGUUAAAAAAAAUUGGUUCCGUUGCCGGGAAUCUGAUAAUCUAUUUUCUUUUCACUUGACCUUUCUUGUUACAUCAAUUAUGUCGAAUAACAAUGACAACACCCCAGGAAACCAAGAGAACUAACAAAGUCAGGGAGGCCCACAGAAUAUUAACAUUCAAGUUCCUACUCCGCAGGACUCUCCACGACAAUCUAGUGAGGGUACUCCUGAUGGAUCUCAAAUAAACGAGUAUGCUCAACUUGAAAAUGCUAAAGCUGUUGAUGAAGCUUUGCAGAAAUUAAUUACUACUCAGAUCAACAAUGUUGUUGAGGUGCUUGUUAACCAGUUACCUGUUGCAACACCCACACCUUCUCCAAAUAAUAACACUAUAGAAAACUCUCGUUCCGGGCUUGUUAACUCAGGCAACGGUGGAACCCCCAGUAAAUCGCAGGAGAGAGAACCAGGUAAUGUAAUUAAUUCUGAUUUACAAAAUUUAGUACUAACCUUGCAGAAACAGCUCAAGGAGCAAAGUGAACGCAUAGAGCAGAUACCCGGGAUGCCGCCCAUAAUCAAAGGGGUAAACAUGGACAGAUAUUUGCAACAACCCUGGAAGCCGAGUGCUGCCCCACUCCCAAUUCCAAAAAAGUUUAAAAUGCCUGAUAUUCCAAAGUAUGAUGGAACAACAGACCCACGGGACCACGUGACUGCAUUCACAACGGGCGUAAAGGCAAUGAUUUGACUAAGUAGGAGAUCGAAUCGGUAUUAGUCAAGAAAUUUGGUGAAACGCUCACCAAAGGAGAACUAACAUGGUAUUCCCUUUUAACUGAAAAUUCUAUAAAUUCUUUUGCUGAGCUUGCAGAUUCUUUCAUCAAAGCACUCUCGGGAACCUAAAAAGUGAAAAAAAGAAUGAAGGAUAUUUUCAAAAUUAAGCAAGGGGAUUCAAAAUUGCUUAGAGAAUUUGUGGACAGAUUUCAACGCGAAAGAAUGACAUCACGUGUACCUGAUAACUGGGCAGCUAUAGCUUUCACAAGCAAUUUGAAUGAAAAAAACGCGGAAGCUACGAGGAGACUCAAGGAAAGCCUUCGAGAAUUCCCAGCUACAACGUGGAUUAAACUAUAUAUAAUAUAACAUUUCUAUAAAUAUUUAAGCCGCAUAUUAAACUUUCACCUUAGGCCCCAUUUACACUUGAGCCGCCCCUGCUUUCAUGAUAGACUGGGUUGGCUGCUAUUUGAAUAGCAGCUUUGCUGUCGCAAAAGAUAGUAACUGGAUGAUCAACUUUUACAUCAAUCUCUUUCAUUAACCCCAGUAGCCAUGUUAAUUCAGCAACAAUAGAUGCUAGGCUUCUGUAUUCUGCUUCAGCAGAACUUCUGGAGAUUGUAGUUUACUUCUUGGACUUCUAUGAAAUCAGUGACUCUCUUAUUUUGAUUAGAUAUCCUGUGACUAAUUUUCUCGUAUGUGGACAAGCUGCCCAAUCAACAUCACAAUAAGCUGUAGCCGUUUCAUUAUUAUUGCUAGAUAGAAGAAUGGCUUGGCCUGAUUGACUUUUGAUAUAUCUCACAAUUCGUAAUGCAGCUUCCAUGUGAGAUUUCUGUGGUUGUUGUAGGUAUUGGCGGAGUGUCUGAACACUAUAGGAUAUAUCUGGCCUAGUAACAGUUAAGUACCGAAGUUUACCUAUGAGUCUUUGAUAGCUGCCUUGAUCUGCUAGUACUUCAUCUUCUGCUAGAUUAUCAUUGCAGAAAUAUUCAUCAAACUCUCUUGUUGUGAGUUUUAUAUUUGUGUCCAUAUGAGUGUUAAUAGGUUUAGAUGCUGCUAAUCCAAGUUCUGAUUUAGCAUUUCAAUAUCAGACACCAUGAGGUUUGUUGCACCAGUGUCAAUAAUACAUUUUUUUGGACAAUUUGAGACUAACAAAGCAGUAAUCAUACCUGCUAUAUUUGUUGCAUAACUAGUGUUGUUGCUUUCAGUGUUAGUUUUGUUGAGAAUUUGCAAUAUUUGUUCAUAUUGAUCUUUUGUAAAAGCUCCUAUCUGUGGAAUUGGCAUUGACUGUGAAUUAUCAGCAUGACCUAAGUUUUGAAAAGAGUUAGUCAUCUGGGAUUGUGCCUGCUGAUAAGUUCUAGUUUAGUUCACAUUAAGCUGUUGAUUUGGUAUUUCUGCAAGCACAUUAUAUACUGCUGGUUCUCCUGUUCCACCAUUAACUUUUUUUUUAAAAAAAACUUGAAAUCUGGUGGGUAAACAACAAUCUUGAAGCAAUUUUCCUUGCUAUGACCUUUGAGCUUACAGAAAUCACAUUGAACAUUGUAAUUCUUUUUAUAUCUUUGAUUUUCUAUAUUUCUUGUAUACAUUGCUACAUCAUAAUUUCCUAAUGGAUUUGCACCUAAGACUCCAGAUGUAGCAGCUACUGCCUUUUGACUCUCAUCACUUAUGAUCAUUGAAUAUGCUUGAUUAAUCGUUGGAAGAGGGCUUCUCAUGAGAAUUUGACUCCUGGCUUGUGAGUAGGAUUCAUUAAGACCCAUAAGAAACUGAAACACUUUUAGCUUUUGCAGAUACACCACAAAGUCCCUAGAUCUUGGACAAUCACAUCCAGGAACUGGUAUUAAGGCUUCAAAUUCUUUCCACGUAUCCUUCAAUUUUGAAUAAUACACAGAUACAGAGGAAGUGCCUUGGGUCAGUGUGGCUAUUUCUUUGUGCAAAUUAAACGUUCUUGCAUCAUCUACCUUAUAAAACCUUUCAUAUAGAUCAUCCCAAACCACCUGAGCAUUAGAGGCAUACAUUAUGCCACCAAGAAGACUACUAUUUACAGAAUUCAUGAUCCAUGACAGUACAAUAACAUUCACUCUCUCCCAAUGAUUUUCCAUAGUUGCAGGAAAGCUUUCUUUACUACAAGAACCAUCUACCAUCCCUAAUUUGUUCCUUCCUAGCAAAGCAACACGCACAGAUCGAUACCAAACUGAGUAAUUCUCGAUCCCUGUUAGCUGAAAGGAAAUAAUCUGUAUACCACUCACAUCUGAGGGAUGAAGAAACAAAGGGUGAUUAUAAUCAAUAUAUGCUGGUUGAUUUGAUACUGCAGUAAAAGUUUGAUUCAGAUGAGAACUAUUGUCUUGUUGAUCACCCAUUUUGCAAAUCUUGAAUUUUUCCGAUACAAUCAAGAAUUGUGAAGAUUGAAUUUGAAUUGCGGAAUUGGAUCAAAUCAAAGCUGGAUAAUCUUGCUUUGGUUGCUCUGAUACCAUGUUCUAAUUACAAGAGGAUUGAUGAAUGUCACUGAUUUAGUGACUGAAAGAAGAAGAAGACAAAGCAGAGAGUGGGAAGAAGAAGAAGAGCAGAACGUCAGAGAGAGAAUCAUCAGAUCUUUAUUAUUUUUCUUAAUACAAAUAAUGAUGUAUACAAUGUUAUUUAUAGUUGCUAACUAGCUUAGACUAAUUAAGACUAACUAACUAACUACCAUCUUAACCGAAUAACUAACUAGUUGAUGUAAUUACUAAACUAUCCUUAUUAGCUAAGUAAUACUUUCUUUAACAAUUAUGCAUGUUAUAGACAAAAAAAUAUACAAAUUUUAUAAACUUUUUUGACUACCAAAUAUAAAUAGUUUAUGGCGCGGACCAAAAGUGAUAAUACGCCUUGAUUGUUGCAAAAAAGAAAUGAAAUUACGGAGCACUUCAAACUUGUAGUUUUCCCGGUUCCCUUCAGAUUUCUAGCCAACUUCUUCUUAAAAAUUUAUACUAUUAAACUGUCUGCUGCUACCUUAGUACAAUCAAUUAGACACCAAAGAUUCUUAAAUCAUCCAAAAGAUUUCAAGUGAGUUCUUAUCCAAUUUUUGGUUAUGAUCAAGCCUUUAAAAUUUCAGAAAUGUCCCAAUCAAGUCCCUAAUAAACUCCUAUUUCAGCGUCACCAACACCACUCUUCUCACUUUACUAGUUACUACUAAAUGGCGACUGUCAUGAAACUCAAAAAAGAAAUAAAAGAAAACAAAAGAAUGGACCUGGUGGCAUGUCAGCAUAAUUGAUGUUUUUUAUUUUAUUUUGCAGAUGGUAUCAUUUUCCGACCAUAUAUUGAACAUUAAAAUUUGUCAUAUUGUGUUAUAACAAAGUAUUUUGCCUAACUAUAAGGGCAUCAAAACGGCAAACAAAGUACUGGCUUACUCUCAUAAUAAGAUAAAUUAAUAACCAUUAGUUCUCUCUAUCCCGCUCUAUCAACUGUGUGCGAGUAGAAUUAUUCGUGUUUUGGUUUGAAUUGAGUUUUACUCGACACUCCUCCGUUUCAUAUUAUAUGAGGUAGUUUGACUCGGCACGGAAUUUAAGAAAAAAGAAGAAGACUUUUGAAACUUGUGGUCUUAAAAGCUUAAGGGGUAAAAAGUUUGUGGGGCCAUAACAUUUGUGUGGCUAUAAAAGCUUCUCAUUAAAGGUAAAUAGGCAAAAUGAAAAAGUUUAAAGUUGAAUUAUUUCUAAAUUUAGAAAUAUGUCAUUUGUUUUGAAACAGACUAAAACGGAAAGUAACUCAUUUAAUAUGAAACGGAGGAAGUAUUUUUUUAAUUAAUAACUACUAUGUCCGGAAUGACUUGACUUUGCUCAAGAUUGUAGAGGAAUGAAACAUUAUAUUAAUCUCCCUUUUCCCUUUCAUCUUAGUUAACGAGCAGUAUUAAUGUAAGAAGAUUGUAAUGAUCAAAUUAAAUGUCUAAAUAAUUGCCUCAAAGCACUUGCAACCUCUGAAAAGACAUAGUAUUUCCAGAACGGAGUGCCUCUUCACCAAAAAAGUAACUUAAACAAUGCCAAGGUGUAGUUUAAAAGUUCAGAAUAGAUUAGGUAAAAAUUAGUCACUAAUGCUUGUCAACUAGCUAACUCAAUCAAUUACAACCUUCUAUUAAUCCAAUGAAUACUCGAUUGUCCUAAAUCACAUAACAAAGUUUCAUUAUUUAUCGUAGACCAAUGUUGAUGUUUCGUACGGCUAAUUUUUCUAAUCAAAAAGCCCUUUUGUUUCCUCCUAGUAAUGCUACGUUGGUUUAUUAUAUCGUUACUUUACUGCCAACAUAAUAUAUAGAAUUAUUGAUGGAUAAGGUUGUCAAAAAUAAUAAUAUUAAAGGGUCUCAUUCACCCACAAGUUGAAACCAUUCACAUUUCAUCUCUCGUCAAUCUAUCUUCCAAACUUGUCCUUGAUAUGUAUUAUUUGAGAGAGAGGGACAGAGAAACAAAAGUAAUGGUUGUUCCAUGUCACAAUUGCUAUUAUUAUUAUUAUUUUGAAAUAAUUUUACUUUUGACCUUUUAAUUAUUAGCAGUCUUGUGUUAGUCCUUCUAAAAUUCAUUGAAUACAUUCAAACCCUGAAUUAACUUAAGUGUUUUUAAUCCCUUAGCUUGAGAGUUCACAUAUGAAAUAUGUAAAAUUUAGAUUAAUUCCUAUAACUAUAUAUUACCUUCAAAUGUGCAGUAACAACACAAAAUUCAUCAUAUACGUGAAGAUUCACAAGCAGAAGAAUAAAAAUUGCACGUUUUAAUUUAUUGAAGGUUAAGUUAUAAAUGUCAAUCAGAUAUCGUAGCAGGAUCAAUUAAAAUUGUAUACGGUCGAAACCGGGUUUGUCUAUUGUGUGGCAAAUCAAGACUGAAACGUGACAGGUUAAAGCUCGAUCUCGGGUUAUGUCGAACCGAGGUACGAAGUUACAGCAUCGAGCUCGUGAUCCCGCGACAGAACAAGAUCGAGGAAAAUGUGCCGAGCCGAAUAACAGAGGGCCGAGAUAUCCGCGAUCAGUUGAAGAUCACGACGGGAAUCUUGACACGUAUCAAGGAGAGACGCCGAUUAAUUAACAAAUCAUGAGAUUUUUUACUUUGUAUAGAGUUGUAUCAAGAGUAGGACACCCCUACUAUAUAUAGGGAGGGGGGAUCUGAUCAUCUGUAACAUAUAUUGAAAUACACAAUAUAAAGCAAUAUACUGUAAUUUCUAGUUCAAUUGGUGUGGUUUGCAUUUAUUUUCUUAUCGCCAAUUUCAAUAUUAAUCUGUCUUCUCAAUUUGUACCAAGUUAUAUCACAUUUUCUUAAAACCGUGUAUAAAUUCAAUUGUUAUCCGAUUUUGAGGGUAAACAAAAAUUUAUCAGUAUUUCAGGGACCAAGAGCGCAAAUUUUAUUCCCUGUCGCUUGGGAGUUUCCAAAAGCCGCAUUUAGCUUAAGUUUCUUGGUUUGUCAAACCAUGCAGGCUGUUUAAUUUCUCGAAAACUAUAAAUAGAACAGGUUCUUAGAAUACUGGACAAAAGAGAAAGAAGAGGAAAUUAGAAGGAGAAUUAAGAAACAGAGACGAAACCACAUUUGUUAUACUAUAAAAUUAUGGUGAUUCAAAGGUUGGAAAUGUGCAUCGGAAUGAUGAAAUUGGCGUUUGAGUUCGUUGUGGUGUUUGUAGAGGCAGUUGGUACUGUUAUCUCGCAAAACAACUCUUCUUCCUUGUCAACACAUGAUUCCUCUGCCAACCGAAACUACGUUGCUACAACGCCUUACAUCGGCCUUCUUCCAUAAAUUGUUUAUUUUUUCACUUCGAAUAUUCAGUAUUCGAAACUUACUGGUCCGACUUAUUCCAAUUUCAUAAACGUUGUCUUUCUGAAUUCCCGAAAAAACCACAUAGAGAAGGAAAGAUUACAUGCAAGGAACAUGUGACAACUGCAGUUUACUUUCUUCUUUUUUUCUCUCACUGAGAGGAG
rnacentral:lncRNA from 1 species